AAUCAGGGCCAUACCACCCUAAAUGCCCCCGAAUCUCAAAUCUUAUCUGAUCUCAGAAGCUAAGCAGGGUUCUGGACUGGUUAGUGCUUAUAUGGGAGACCGCCUGGAAAUACCGGGUGCUGUAGGCU
ensembl:rRNA 5S_rRNA 5S ribosomal RNA